rnacentral:rRNA from 1 species
UAAGCGUGCGCAGGCGGUUAUGUAAGACAGAUGUGAAAUCCCCGGGCUCAACCUGGGAACUGCAUUAGUGACUGCAUAGCUGGAGUACGGCAGAGGGGGAUGGAAUUCCGCGUGUAGCAGUGAAAUGCGUAGAUAUGCGGAGGAACACCGAUGGCGAAGGCAAUCCCCUGGGCCUGUACUGACGCUCAUGCACGAAAGCGUGGGGAGCAAACAGGAUUAGAUACCCGGGU